AUUGAACGCUGGCGGCAUGCCUUACACAUGCAAGUCGAACGGCAGCGGACCUUCGGGUGCCGGCGAGUGGCGAACGGGUGAGUAAUGCAUCGGAACGUGCCAUUGAGUGGGGGAUAACGUAGCGAAAGUUGCGCUAAUACCGCAUAUUCUGUGAGCAGGAAAGCAGGGGACCGCAAGGCCUUGCGCUCUUUGAGCGGCCGAUGUCAGAUUAGCUAGUUGGUGAGGUAACGGCUUACCAAGGCGACGAUCUGUAGCGGGUCUGAGAGGAUGAUCCGCCACACUGGAACUGAGACACGGUCCAGACUCCUACGGGAGGCAGCAGUGGGGAAUUUUGGACAAUGGGGGCAACCUGAUCCAGCCAUGCCGCGUGAGUGAAGAAGGCC
rnacentral:rRNA from 1 species